CCAGACUCCUACGGGAGGCAGCAGUGGGGAAUAUUGCACAAUGGGGGAAACCCUGAUGCAGCGAUGCCGCGUGGAGGAAGAAGGUUUUCGGAUUGUAAACUCCUUUUAUCAGGGACGAUAAUGACGGUACCUGAAGAAAAAGCUCCGGCUAACUACGUGCCAGCAGCCGCGGUAAUACGUAGGGGGCAAGCGUUAUCCGGAUUUACUGGGUGUAAAGGGAGCGUAGACGGCGAAGAAAGUCUGAAGUGAAAGCCCGCGGCUCAACCGCGGAACUGCUUUGGAAACUUUUUUGCUGGAGUACCGGAGAGGUAAGCGGAAUUCCUAGUGUAGCGGUGAAAUGCGUAGAUAUUAGGAGGAACACCAGUGGCGAAGGCGGCUUACUGGACGGUAACUGACGUUGAGGCUCGAAAGCGUGGGGAGCAAACAGGAUUAGAUACCCCGGUAC
rnacentral:rRNA from 1 species